rnacentral:lncRNA from 1 species
GGUAUGAAGGGUUUGGGGAAUACUCCAUCAAGAGUGGGUAUAAAGCUUUUUUUGAGGAGUUUCAUAAUAUGGGUGAUUACUUGUAUGACACUGCUACAAUGUCAGAAUUCUACAACAAAAUGUGGGCACUACAACUUCCAUCAAAAGUGAAAAUUUACAUGUGGAAAUUACAUAAUAAUUUUUUGCCUAAAUUUGGGAAUUUAGCUAAGAGAAAGCUGCUAGUUGAUGGUGAUUGUCCGCUGUGUAAGGAGGCAGAGGAGACUGUUGAGCAUCUGGCACGGUCCUGCCAUAUUUUGCAACAUAUAUGGAUGCAUCUGAAGAUUGCAGUGAGUCCAGCGAUGGUGGCCUCAGAUUAUAAAAUAUGGUUAGCACAGGCAUUUCUAAAUGCAGAUAUUUAAACCAGAAAAAUUAUGGUCACAACUUAUUGGGCUAUUUGGUACAUGCGUAAUCGGUUGGUUCAUGAAGGACUAAGGUGGACAAUUCAUGAAAUGGUAGGUUUUGUCCAAGGGUAUGUUCUGGAAUUUGAGACUAUUUCGGCCCUAAGACUACCAGUCCAAAAUACUAUGAAGGAUUUAUGGAGGCCUCUAGAAAGAGGCAGCAUUAAAAUAAAUUUUGAUGCAUCGUUCCAUGCAGCAAGCCAUAGCUCUAUCUCUGGGUUUAUUGCUAGAAAUGAUUCGGGUCAGAUUAUGGGAGCGGGUACUUACCGUAAUUCUGAUGUAGCGGAUGCGUUUGUAGCAGAGGCGAGUGCGUGUGAACGGGCGGUCAUUUUUGCAACAGAGAUGGGAUUCCGGGAUGUCCAUUUUGAAAGAGACUCGCUGACAGUAAUUAAAAAGAUUUACUCAAGAGAAGAAGAUAAAUCGGUUAUCAGGUUCAAAAUAUUAAAGAUUAUAAGAGGAACUUUGACAGGGUUACUUUCCGUUUUGUUCGUAGGGAAGCUAGCACAGCGGCGCAUGCACUUGCGGGUGAAGGUCGUCGGUACCAAGAGGCUGUGUACUGGAUUGAAAAAGACCCAUAUGUGGUGGAUCAGAUUGUGGCUGAGGACUGGGUUCAAUGGCUACGCAGAGGAGUGGAUAGCAAUUCGCAGCUUUGUGGCGUGGAGAAACUCUAUCUUGUACUCCAUGGAGGUCAUCAAAGCUUUUUCUCUCUGAAAUUAGUCGCUUCAAUCUCAUGCAGCUGUGUUGGGGCAGUUUUUUGGAGAGAUUUUAUUUGGCUUUUCUCUGUAAUUCUGGUUUCUAGGGUAAGGUUGGGGGUGUUGUUUUGUUUUUUUGGUUUCUUUUAUGGUAUUUUAUUGUUGCCUGCCUUUUGCAUUUUAAUCUGUUUUGAUUGGAGCUCUAUGUCGGUUGUAUAACCGGGGGCCUGAAACCCCUUUUCUUAAAUAAAAAAAAAAGAAAAAAAUUCA